rnacentral:misc_RNA from 1 species
GAUGAAGAACGUAGCGAAAUGCGAUACGUAAUGUGAAUUGCAGAAUUCAGUGAAUCAUCGAAUCUUUGAACGCAUAUUGCGCUCUCUGGUAUUCCGGAGAGCAUGCUUGUUUGAGUAUCAGUAAACACCUCAACUUCCAUAUCUUUUUUUGAAAUGGGAGUUGGACUUGAGUGAUCCCAACGCUUUUCCUCACCGAAAAGUGGCGGGUUACUUGAAAUGCAGGUGCAGCUGGACUUUUCUCUGAGCUAUAAGCAUAUCUAUUUAGUCUGCCUAAAAAACAGAUUAUUACCUUUGCUGCAGCUAACAUAAAGGAGACUAGUUCUUGUGCUGACUGAUGCAGGAUUCACAGAGACAGCUUCGGCUGACUUUGUAAACUCGAUCUCAAAUCAAGUAAGACUACCCGCUGAACUUAAGCAUAUCAAUAAGCGGAGGA